rnacentral:lncRNA from 1 species
GAGACUAGUUGGGCUAUGAAUUUUGCUUGCUUGCCAUUGUGCUCAUUCGCACACGCUUGUGAGGGUAGCUCCCUACAAGCCGGCACUCCGGAGUUGGCCUACGCGACAGUUGCUCGCCCGUGCGGGAUUGAGUGCCGAAGUGGAUUGCCGUGGGGAGUGGAUACUACCACGGGGCCAUUCAGCGCGGCGCAAGCGGGAUUACCCUACGUAAACUAAUAUGAACGCCAUUUAAGUUUGAGAUGACAGUAAUGAUUGCUUACUAAC